GACGAACGCUGGCGGCGUGCUUAACACAUGCAAGUCGAACGGAAAGGCCCUGCUUUUGUGGGGUGCUCGAGUGGCGAACGGGUGAGUAACACGUGAGUAACCUGCCCUUGACUUUGGGAUAACUUCAGGAAACUGGGGCUAAUACCGGAUAGGAGCUCCUGCUGCAUGGUGGGGGUUGGAAAGUUUCGGCGGUUGGGGAUGGACUCGCGGCUUAUCAGCUUGUUGGUGGGGUAGUGGCUUACCAAGGCUUUGACGGGUAGCCGGCCUGAGAGGGUGACCGGCCGCAUUGGGACUGAGAUACGGCCCAGACUCCUACGGGAGGCAGCAGUGGGGAAUAUUGCACAAUGGGCGGAAGCCUGAUGCAGCAACGCCGCGUGCGGGAUGACGGCCUUCGGGUUGUAAACCGCUUUCGCCUGUGACGAAGCGUGAGUGACGGUAAUGGGGAAAGAAGCACCGGCUAACUUCGU
rnacentral:rRNA from 1 species